rnacentral:lncRNA from 1 species
GAACAGUAAAUAAAUCUCAAUGACUUCAGGUUUUAUCAAUCUUGGUUGGAGCAUUACCUGCCUAGUGUUACCUUAACCAGCAGCUGGCCCCAUCAUGGCCCGUUGACUUAGAGGUAGUUCUCACAUUUGGAUGGACACGUCAACACACACACACACACACACACACACCACAAAUACACACAUGUACCACAUCACACUUGCACACACACAGACACAGUCACACCCCAUAAGAAUACACACACACACACCACACCACACUUACACACACCACACACCAUAUACACACAUGCAUCACCACAACAACACACACCACACACCAUAUACACACAUACAUCACCACAACAAGACAUACAUCCCCACAUACACCCUACAUGCACACCAUACAUACAUACAUACAUA